AAAAAUUCAAUUGUCACAAUUUUCCAUCAAACGAAAUUCUACCACAAACUAGAAAUUAUUAUAUACAGAGCUCCAAUCCCGUGCAGGCAGAAUGUUUGGAUUACAAAAGAGAAGAGAAGAGAAUGAAAGAUUGAGAGGGAAAUCUGUUAGUUAGAGAAGAGCAGCUUUAUUAAAAGCGAAAAGUGCAAAAAAGCUCAAAGGAAACUAAUAAUUAUAAACAUGAAUGACAAAUAUAUGACCAAAUAAAUUGAAUUUUUUUUAUGAUAAAGUAAAAUAUCAAUUGUUUAGUGUCACUUCUUCACAAGAGG
rnacentral:misc_RNA from 1 species